ACGGGAAAUGCAGCCCUGGGAUGUUCAGGAUAUUCAAUCCAUGAAGAUCAGCCCUGGGAUGUUUGGGAUUCUGGAUUGACAGGAGAUCCGUGCUGGGAUGUUUGAGAUUCUGGAUCCACAGGAGAUCAGCCCUGGGAUGUUUGGGAUGCUGAAUCCACAGGAGAUCAGCCCUGGGAUGUUUGGGAUUCUGAAUCCACGGGAGAUCAGCCCUGGGAUUUUGGGGAUUCUGAAUCCGUGGGAGAUCAGCCCUGGGAUUUUUGGGAUUCUGAAUCCGUGGGAGAUCAGCCCUGGGAUGCUCAGGAUGUUUAACAACAUCCCAGGGGGUGUUUUCCCCCCACCGGAGGGGACCGGCGGGCAGCUGGUGCCACAUGCCAGCAGAGCCUGGAUCCAUGAGCAAUCCUGGCAGGAAUGUCACUUCACAUCCAUCUCCUGACCUCAGCACUGGAUGGACCUUUCACCAUUCUGGACAAACAUCAUUCCCCCAAGGCAGGAUGACAGGGAAGCACCUCCAGGUCACUCCUGUGUGUUGGCAUCUCCCACUCGCUCCUCGUCUUCCACAAAAAAAAAAAAAAAAAAAAUGUUCCCCCCCCCCCCCCCCCCCCCCCCCCCCCCCCCCCCCCCCUCCACAAAAAAAAAAAAAAAAAAUGUUUGAAGCCGCCGCUGAUUUUUCCCUUUGAUCCCUGUAAACACUAUACAGUAAUCAAAGUUUAAGCUGCUUUGGGUGAAAUAAUUGCUUAACAAUCAUAUAAGACAAAGUGAUUCAACAAAUGACAAUUAGGACUUGUGAUCUACAGAACAGAUGCAUUCAGUGUAGCAUAUUAUAAUGUGCUAAUAGGAGAUUGACAGCACAAUAAUAGGAGAGAACAGCCACUCAGCCUAUAAUUCCCAACCAAAUGUGAGGCUGUCCACAGAGCUCAAAUCCGAACAGGCUGUAAAAUUAGAGGUAAGAAGGCACAAGUUUCACAAAGACUCAUUAGCAGGUUGGCUGUGAAUUUCCAAGGAAGGGGGGAAAAAAAAAUUCCUGCUGGAGGCCCCCCCCCCCCCCCCCCCCCCCCCCCCCCCCCCCCCCC
rnacentral:lncRNA from 1 species